UGUUUAAUAGUUGGCAAUUUAUGCAGCGUACCAUUAAUGUUAACACCACUGUAACAAGAGCCAUUAGACUCAUUUUCAUAUGCUGUGCCACAGGACAGCUUAACCUCUAUUUCCCAUAAAUAUUUCACGUACUCCUAGACUAAAAUGUCCCAGGCUUUCUGCUGACUGUAAUGAAUGGUGGCCUGCUGACUUAAAGCUGCUCCCAAAUUGAGGUCAGGGUCACCACACUCUUACUGUUAUACCAAGGAGGCAACAAGUUGCAACUGCACCAAAUCAUCUAACGCACUGAAGUAUCUAAUGCAUCAAAUCAUCCUAAGUAAUUGUCUGCAAUUGCUAGUGACCCAGAAGACUUCUUUUGUUAAGUGAGUACCCUAUAAGGGUGUUAGGGAAAUGUUAGUAUGUGGUAUUGCAAAUUGAAUUAACCUGUCAUAAAUGGUGAGAAGGUUGGCUUUCAUCUGGGGCCAACACCUGGGGAAGAGAAGAGACAUGGGACUAGGUAGAAGAAGAUGUCCAACUGUGAACUCAUCUUGACGGGGAGAUCUGGAGCAAGCGCAGCCUGUAUAAGACAUGUCUUAAGCUGGGCAGAAGUGGCUGAGCAUUUUUGCCCAACUUCACCCAGUCACCAGGUACAGACUGUGCUGGAAAGGGUCUGCCCUUUGAAGGGGGAGUUCUCUGCAGCUGGUUGGACCCUGAAGAGGCUGACAAGCUAUACAGUCCCUGUAUUGCCCACAGGUGGGCUAAAUUCCUUCCUUAGUCCCUGUGCUGCUCAUCUUUAUCUCCCACAAGUUGUAUAUAGGUAUGAUUACCAAAGAUAAGACAGGCUCUCUCUGUGCAUGUUCUGAUCUAAUGAGACUGAGAACUCAACUCAUUGAUGUUAAUUCUGCAUGUAUUACUUCACAGUCCCCUGGGAGGAAGUGAAGCACCCAGUGCGAUUGAACCAGUCUUCGACAUACCCGGGAAGCACACUUGGAGAUGAAAGUGCAGUGAAGUGCUGACCUUACCCUUGGCAUAUGCAGGAUGGAAGACAUGCUGCCUGCCUUACAUCAACAUUGGAGAGAGUGCCCAGUUCUGACACAGGCUUCAUAGCCAAGAAGUUCUGGAGGCUGGAAAUUCAACAGUAGUUCCAUUGAGAAAGAAUCAAGGCAUCAGCACUUAAGAACUCUAAGGAGAGAACUGACCCCUUCACUCUUCAAGCGUCUAGUGGCUCUUGAUGUUUUGGAAAGAAUGGGAACAUGUGCUGCCUAAGACAACAGCUCUAUCCUUCGAAGGCUGGCAGUUGAAGGUUGGCGUGAUGAGUCAAAGAUGAGUAUACAGAAUAUUAAAUGCCACCAAAGAAGAAAACAUCAGUUUUCUCUCCAAGGACAGAGGAGCACAG